ensembl:lncRNA
UUUACUUCUCCAUGUUCUUUAUUUCCAGUUUACCCUUAUCUAACUCUUUCCUCUGAUUCCAGUCUAAUAUAUUAUGUUAGCCUUUGUGCCUGCUGAACCUCUUGUAGUGUUGCAUAGGUUUGGCCAGAACUGCUGUCAUUAGCACUGAAGACAGAGCCAGGGUGAAUUCACUUUUACCCCAGCCAUUUUCAGACUUCAAAGGAAACAGUGAAUUACUUUAAUGAUGGUACUCACUUUGCAUGUUUUUUUUUUUCUCUGAGUUUAGUGGAAAUGACAACUUGUCAGAUUUUUUUUCCCUUUACUUUGUCAAUUUUGAAGGAGACCUGCUUCUGUGAAAGUUAACUGAGGCCAGCUGUCACUGAUUUCAUUACAGAUCAAGUGCCUUUUGGUCCACAUGCUUAUUGAAAUAUUUCAUCAGGACUGACUUCAGUGUGAGAUUUUGUCUGUCACAUAAAAGUUUCAGGAAACUUUCUUCCAUGGAAAAUUUCAGCUUAUAUCUUUUUGAAAACAAUCUUCAUAAAAGUUACAAAAACAAAACAAAAAACUGCCCACUUCAGUGCUGCAAAGUGAAACAUUGCCCCUUUCUCAAAUACAACAUUGGACGAGUCAUGAUACAUAUCCAAAAACAUUUUAAGAACCAAGAAAGCAGAAAAAAAGCAGACAACCUUCCAAAAAAGAAAAAAAAACAGACAAAAUAAAGUCACUAAAAUUUUGCCGUUACACAACCCUCAUAUUUUGCAGGCGUUUUAGCGUAACUAUUAAAAUGGUUCCAAUAGGAAGUGGGACACCACCAGAGUAAUGCCCCCUCUCAACUACCCGUGGGUGUAGAUGUGUUUGCCAUUUAUGUGUGGGUGUGAGCCUCUGCAGGUGAGCACACAAAUCCUUUAACAAUAAAUGGCAUCAACUUCUGUUUGACAACCUACUAAGUUUUUUUUCAAAUAUGUAUUGUACUGUAGCUGAAGGAGAGAUGCCCUAAUUGUUUUAAAAAUCAUUUCUAAGAUAUGUGGCAUCUCUGUUCACACAGCAGUUGUCCCACCAGCAGGUUUGAUAAAUUGAAAGUUGUUGACAGUUGGAGCUUAUGCCAGCUAACAUAUGGAGCAAGGUGGGGUACUGGACAGGUUACCAUUCCAUCACAGGGCUAGCACAGAGAGGCAGACACCCACACAUGCUCACGUCCACACCUGUGGCCAACUAAGAAUCACCAUGUGACCUAACAAUCAUGAAGGGAAC